UGGAGCAUCCUGCUGCCCCUUGAGCAUACAGUGAGGCUGGGGUGGCUCCGCAGCUGGACUGCCUUUCUAGGCAGCCCAGGUGGCACCAGCUUCUCCUGG